GACGAACGCUGGCGGCGUGCCUAAUACAUGCAAGUAGAACGCUGAAGAGAGGAGCUUGCUCUUCUUGGAUGAGUUGCGAACGGGUGAGUAACGCGUAGGUAACCUGCCUGGUAGCGGGGGAUAACUAUUGGAAACGAUAGCUAAUACCGCAUAAAAUUGAUUAUUGCAUGAUACUUAAUUGAAAGAUGCAACUGCAUCACUACCAGAUGGACCUGCGUUGUAUUAGCUAGUUGGUGAGGUAACGGCUCACCAAGGCGACGAUACAUAGCCGACCUGAGAGGGUGAUCGGCCACACUGGGACUGAGACACGGCCCAGACUCCUACGGGAGGCAGCAGUAGGGAAUCUUCGGCAAUGGGGGGAACCCUGACCGAGCAACGCCGCGUGAGUGAAGAAGGUUUUCGGAUCGUAAAGCCCGGUUGUAAGAGAAGAACGGGUGUGAGAGUGGAAAGUUCACACUGUGACGGUAUCUUACCAGAAAGGGACGGCUAACUACGUG
rnacentral:rRNA from 1 species